rnacentral:rRNA from 1 species
GACGAACGCUGGCGGCGUGCCUAAUACAUGCAAGUAGAACGCUGAAGGAGGAGCUUGCUUCUCUGGAUGAGUUGCGAACGGGUGAGUAACGCGUAGGUAACCUGCCUGGUAGCGGGGGAUAACUAUUGGAAACGAUAGCUAAUACCGCAUAACAGUAGAUGUUGCAUGACAUUUGCUUAAAAGGUGCAAUUGCAUCACUACCAGAUGGACCUGCGUUGUAUUAGCUAGUUGGUGAGGUAACGGCUCACCAAGGCGACGAUACAUAGCCGACCUGAGAGGGUGAUCGGCCACACUGGGACUGAGACACGGCCCAGACUCCUACGGGAGGCAGCAGUAGGGAAUCUUCGGCAAUGGACGGAAGUCUGACCGAGCAACGCCGCGUGAGUGAAGAAGGUUUUCGGAUCGUAAAGCUCUGUUGUAAGAGAAGAACGAGUGUGAGAGUGGAAAGUUCACACUGUGACGG